UACGUAGGGUGCGAGCGUUGUCCGGAAUUACUGGGCGUAAAGAGCUCGUAGGCGGCUUGUCGCGUCGACCGUGAAAACUCGCAGCUCAACUGCGAGCCUGCGGUCGAUACGGGCAGGCUAGAGUUCGGUAGGGGGAGACUGGAAUUCCUGGUGUAGCGGUGAAAUGCGCAGAUAUCAGGAGGAACACCGAUGGCGAAGGCAGGUCUCUGGGCCGAUACUGACGUGAGGAGCGAAAGCGUGGGGAGCGAACAGG
rnacentral:rRNA from 1 species